GCCGCGAUAGUAUAGUCCGGUCAAGUAUACCGCCCUCUCGCGGCGGGGACACGGGUUCAAAUCCCGUUCGCGGCG
rnacentral:tRNA from 1 species